rnacentral:tRNA from 1 species
GCCGGUUUAGCUCAGUUGGUAGAGCAGUUGAUUUGUAAUCAUCAGGCCGCGCGUUCGAAUCGUGCAACCGGCACCA